rnacentral:rRNA from 1 species
UACAGGGGGUGCAAACGUUGCUCGGAAUCAUUGGGCGUAAAGCGCACGUAGGCGGUCUGUUAUGUCGGAUGUGAAAGCCCUUGGCUUAACUGAGGAAGUGCAUCCGAAACUGGCAGGCUAGAGUACUAAAGAGGGUCGCGGAAUUCCCGGUGUAGAGGUGAAAUUCGUAGAUAUCGGGAGGAAAACCGGUGGCGAAGGCGGCGACCUGGGUAGAUACCGACGCUGAGGUGCGAAAGCGUGGGGAGCAAACAGG